rnacentral:tRNA from 1 species
CGGGACGUAGCUCAAAUGGAAGAGCGGUCGGCACAUUGUCGGUGGACUUUGCUGGUUCGAGUCCAGCCGUCCCAG